GCCAAGCCGUAAAUAAUUAACUUACACCAAUCAACGCCAGGGAACUACGAGUUUUAACUUAAAACCCAAAGGACUUGACGGUGUCCCACCCCACUAGAGGAGCCUGUCCUGUAAAUGAUGAUCCCCGAUAUACCCAACCAUUUCUUGCUUAUCAGUCUGUAUACCGCCGUCGUAAGCUUACCGUAUGAACGCACAACAGUAGGCCUAAGGACUUACCCGCCAUAACGUCAGGUCAAGGUGCAACUUAUGUAAUGGAAAGUGAUUGGCUACAAUUUCUAACUUAGAACAUACGAAAAACUUAUAUGAAACAUAGUCAUGAAGGUGGAUUUAGUAGUAAAUAAGGAAUAGAGAGCCUUAUUAAACCCGGCCCUGGGAUGUGUACAAACCGCCCGUCACCCUCUUCGAUAGCCCUAAAUAGCUUAAUAACCUAAUCCCGCAUAGUAGAAGAGGCAAGUCGUAACAUGGUAAGUGUACUGGAAAGUGCACUUGGUACAACAAAAUGUAGCUUAACUAAAGCCACUCGCUUACACCGAGUAAACGUCUGUGCAACCCAGAUCAUUUUGAGCCCGAAAUCUAGCCUAAAAAUAAUUAAAUACAAACACCCCAUUAUAUCUUUCUAGUUAAAACAUUUUAACUGUUAAGUAGAGGAGAUCAAAAAUAUCUGAGCGCUUAAGAAAUAGUACCGUAAGGGAACGAUGAAAUAAAAAUGAAAUAAAUUUAAAGCCAAUAAUAGCAGAGACCAUACCUCG
rnacentral:rRNA from 1 species